rnacentral:lncRNA from 1 species
GUAGUCCACCCGGAAUAACCAUGUCCACGGCGCCCGCCAUUCUGUAGCCUAUGCUCGGAGGGCACAUGAGCAAGAGCUUGACCAUCUGUACCGUUGGUUGACUUGCUCUAUUAAGGGCUAUGAUUUCAGGUCGUCCUGCGUGUUUAGAGGAGGCGAGUGGAAUCUUGAGUCUCGGCUGGAGAAGGCAGAGCACGGGCAUGCAGACCUCAAAGCCUCAAACCUGCGUGUGAGAGGAGAAGUUGGCGAGCUCCAGCGUAUGGUCCACGGUUGGUAUUCUAGGAAGAUACAAGACAACAGCUUCUGCGAACCAGUAAGAGUGGCCUCAUUAGACAUUGGAUUUGCCAGUGACUUGAUCAUGGACUUCCCAGUCUCCAGGACUGUGAGUUAUAAAGGUUUGUUGUUUAAGCCACCCA